rnacentral:tRNA from 1 species
CGGGGCAUGGCGCAGUUUGGUAGCGCGUCCGCUUUGGGAGCGGAAGGUCGCAGGUUCAAAUCCUGUUGCCCCGACCG